GGGAGCUUGCUCCCAUUUCUCAGCGGCGGACGGGUGAGUAACACGUGGGCAACCUGCCCUACAGACUGGGAUAACUCCGGGAAACCGGAGCUAAUACCGGGUAAUACAUAGCAUCGCAUGAUGCAACGUUGAAAGUUGGCCUUUGGCUAACACUGUAGGAUGGGCCCGCGGCGCAUUAGCUAGUUGGUAAGGUAACGGCUUACCAAGGCCACGAUGCGUAGCCGACCUGAGAGGGUGAUCGGCCACACUGGGACUGAGACACGGCCCAGACUCCUACGGGAGGCAGCAGUAGGGAAUCUUCCGCAAUGGACGAAAGUCUGACGGAGCAACGCCGCGUGAGUGACGAAGGCCUUCGGGUCGUAAAGCUCUGUUGUUAGGGAAGAACAAGUACCGUUCGAAUAGGGCGGUACCUUGACGGUACCUAACCAGAAAGCCACGGCUAACUACGUGCCAGCAGCCGCGGUAAUACGUAGGUGGCAAGCGUUGUCCGGAAUUAUUGGGCGUAAAGCGCGCGCAGGCGGUCUCUUAAGUCUGAUGUGAAAGCCCACGGCUCAACCGUGGAGGGCCAUUGGAAACUGGGGGACUUGAGUGCAGAAGAGGAGAGUGGAAUUCCACGUGUAGCGGUGAAAUGCGUAGAUAUGUGGAGGAACACCAGUGGCGAAGGCGGCUCUCUGGUCUGUAACUGACGCUGAGGCGCGAAAGCGUGGGGAGCGAACAGGAUUAGAUACCCUGGUAGUCCACGCCGUAAACGAUGAGUGCUAGGUGUUUGGGGGGGUUCCACCCUCAGUGCUGAAGUUAACACAUUAAGCACUCCGCCUGGGGGAGUACGACCGCAAGGUUGAAACUCAAAGGAAUUGACGGGGGCCCGCACAAGCAGUGGAGCAUGUGGUUUAAUUCGAAGCAACGCGAA
rnacentral:rRNA from 1 species